rnacentral:lncRNA from 1 species
CAGAGGGAGAAGCGGUGGAGUGUGUCCUCGGGUGGGGCGGCCGAGCGGAGCGUGUGCACCGAUAAGCCCAGCCCUGGGGAGCGCCCCAGCUUGUCCCAACAUCGGCGCCAUCAGAGCUGGAGCACCUUCAAAUCUAUGACACUGGGCUCGCUGCCCCCCAAGCCCCGAGAACGGCUGACUCUGCACCGGGCAGCAGCCUGGGAGCCCACAGAACCACCAGAUGGUGACUUCCAGACAGAGGUUGGGAAGCCAGCCCUGGCUGCUGUCCAGGGUGCUGAAAGGGA